rnacentral:rRNA from 1 species
GAUGAACGCUGGCGGCGUGCCUAAUACAUGCAAGUCGAGCGAACGGACGAGAAGCUUGCUUCUCUGAUGUUAGCGGCGGACGGGUGAGUAACACGUGGAUAACCUACCUAUAAGACUGGGAUAACUUCGGGAAACCGGAGCUAAUACCGGAUGAUAUUUUGAGCCGCAUGGUUCAAAAGUGAAAGACGGUCUUGCUGUCACUUAUAGAUGGAUCCGCGCUGCAUUAGCUAGUUGGUAAGGUAACGGCUUACCAAGGCAACGAUGCAUAGCCGACCUGAGAGGGUGAUCGGCCACACUGGAACUGAGACACGGUCCAGACUCCUACGGGAGGCAGCAGUAGGGAAUCUUCCGCAAUGGGCGAAAGCCUGACGGAGCAACGCCGAGUGAGUGAUGAAGGUCUUCGGAUCGUAAAACUCUGUUAUUAGGGAAGAACAUAUGUGUAAGUAACUGUGCACAUCUUGACGGUACCUAAUCAGAAAGCCACGGCUAACUACGUG